GUGAGGAAUUUUCCGCAAUGGGCGAAAGCCUGACGGAGCAAUGCCGCGUGAAGGAUGAAGGCCUAUGGGUUGUAAACUUCUUUUCUCAGAAAAGAAUUAUGACGGUAUCUGAGGAAUAAGCAUCGGCUAACUCUGUGCCAGCAGCCGCGGUAAGACAGAGGAUGCAAGCGUUAUCCGGAAUGAUUGGGCGUAAAGCGUCUGUAGGUUGUUUAAAAAGUAUUCUGUCAAAGAUUAGGGCUUAACCCUAGAUAGGCAGAAUAAACUUUUAAGCUAGAGUUUGGUAGAGGCAGAGGGAAUUCCCGGUGGAGCGGUGAAAUGUGUAGAUAUCGGGAGGAACACCAAAGGCGAAGGCACUCUGCUGGGCCAAUACUAACACUGAGAGACGAAAGCGAGGGGAGCAAAUGGGAUUAGAAACCCGUGUAGUCC
rnacentral:rRNA from 1 species